AGUCGGCUUUGCCCACCACACAGGGUGCCUCUGACAUCUGCACAGCGCACACAACCAAGUUUACGAGCCCACUGUUAAGAAGCCCAAGUGACGUUGACAAGUUUCUCUGUGAGCCAUUGAGAUCUGCUGAUCGCGAAGGCAUCGCGGGACUGCCGAAGGAUUCUGGAAAAUGUGGUACCGGCGCUCUGCGGGUGGCCAAUGUGCGCUGAGCUUCACGGUGCAGUCCCCAGCAUUUACAGAAGUGAGGGCCUCGCUUCUGGGCAUCAAGCAGCCAGAAAGUCCCUUAGGAGCUUUCUCUGAAUUGUUGAAUUGCUGUAGGGAAGUCAAGGCCAUAUGGAAACACUACAUUUAGGGACUCAGUCCCAGCUGAGCCCCCUCUUCCAACAUCCCAAGCCAGGUAUCAGAUGUGAAGGAACAAGCCUCCAAAUGGUUCCAGACCCCAGCUGUUGAGUCUCCUGUGCUGAGGCCAGACAUCAUGGAACAGAGACAAGUGGGCUACCCUUGUGCCACAUCUGAAAUCCUGACUAUAAGCAUGAGUAUCCACAAACAUAAUAAAAUGAUUGUUUGAGCCACUAAA